CAGUAGCCGCGGUGAUACGAAGGGUGCAAGCGUUACUCGGAAUUACUGGGCGUAAAGCGUGCGUAGGUGGUGGUUUAAGUCCGUUGUGAAAGCCCUGGGCUCAACCUGGGAAUUGCAGUGGAUACUGGGUCACUAGAGUGUGGUAGAGGAUAGUGGAAUUUCCGGUGUAGCAGUGAAAUGCGUAGAGAUCGGAAGGAACAUCUGUGGCGAAGGCGACUAUCUGGGCCAACACUGACACUGAGGCACGAAAGCGUGGGGAGCAAACAGGAUUAGAUACCCCAGUAGUCCCUGUCUCUUAUAC
rnacentral:rRNA from 1 species